CUGGGAGGGGAUGGCGCAGCACCAACUGAUGGGUACCCCCUUUUGUCCCCACUCACUGCACCCCCCCAUCCCACUCCAGCUCAGGAGGCGGCCAUUCCCAGAGGAUGAAGAACCCCAGGAGCGGUGCGGGGGUGAGAUUGAGUUAGGAUCCUGAAUGAUGAUUCUGCUAUGCAUAUAAAAGUAUAAUUAUGACAACAUAUAUCAUAUUGAAGGAAUAAAUCACAGCGUGGAAGGCAAUGGCAGCUUGGAGUGAUCAGUGACAGGAAGUAGAGGUCAAUGAAUGCUUGGGACUUCAGCCUUUUUUUCCCCCUGUUUAUUCAUUCCAGAAUGUCAGCCUAUAGAAAUGAAGUUUUAGGAUAGGUUUUACCACCUCUAUUAACUCAACCUAGAAACUUCCUUGAACAUGCCUAGAAUGUAUUUCCUUAUUGAACUUAAAUCCCAGCAAGUUGAUACUCAUGAUUAAGGUUAACUAUCUCACUUAUCUCCCUCAGUGAUGCGAGGAUAUUCUAGUAUUCAUUAUUAAAUCAGGCUUUGCUAUUCACAGUGAGGGCACACUGCCUAGUAUCCCUUAUCUCCUUUCUCAUGCCCUGAAUUCAGUGCUGUAACAGAACUUUCUACUUCCCUCAGGAUUACAUUCUUGAUAAGACACAUUUCUAAGCAGAGUCAGUACAAAUACCUAGAUUAACGUCAGACAUUACCUUCUUAUUUUAAUUUUACUUUUUUGAACUAUGUAUUACUAUAUGAUUCUGGAGUGAAUCAACAUGCUGAUAGAUGUGCAGUUCAUCAUAAAAUAUAAAGAAUGUUACUCAAAGCUAUUCAUAAGACUUGAGCAAUGUAAAUAAAUUAAAAGCCACGAACCUAUCAAUUAUAAAUGAUUCUCCAAAAGGUGACCAUAAAGUUGUAACAAUAUUUGAACAAAUAGCAAUAAUAAGAAAGCACAAAUAAAAUGGAAGAGUAUGAAAUCACAAAGUUAUAAAGGUAUUAAGUAACAUAGGCUUUCAAGCAUCAUAUGUGUAUGAAUUAUUAAAAUUUCUACUUUCUUUACAGGUAUCAGUUAGAAAACAUAACAAAGAGAUAUCUGAAAAAGCAACAUUUUGAAAACACAUUUACAAGAUAAAGUAUGUAGUGGCUUUGAGGUAUCUCUCAGUCAAGUUUUUAAGUCAAACUUAAAAAAAAAAGAGGUAUAUCUACAAGCUUAGUUAAGAACAUCAAGAAUUACAUACUUUUAACCAAGUGCUGAAAAUUUCAUAAAA
rnacentral:sRNA from 1 species